CCUACGGGUGGCAGCAGUGGGGGAUAUUGCACAAUGGGGGAAACCCUGAUGCAGCGACGCCGCGUGGGUGAAGAAGCGCCUCGGCGCGUAAAGCCCUGUCAGCAGGGAAGAAAAUGACGGUACCUGAAGAAGAAGCCCCGACUAACUACGUGCCAGCAGCCGCGGUAAUACGUAGGGGGCAAGCGUUAUCCGGAUUUACUGGGUGUAAAGGGGGCGCAGGCGGCGAUGCAAGCCAGGGGUGAAAGCCCGGGGCCCAACCUCGGGACUGCUCUUGGAACUGCGUGGCUAGAGUGCAGGAGGGGCAGGCGGAAUGCCUGGUGUAGCGGUGAAAUGCGUAGAUAGCAGGAGGAACACCGGUGGCGAAGGCGGCCUGCUGGACUGCAACUGACGUUGAGGCCCGAAAGCGUGGGGAGCAAACAGGAUUAGAUACCCCGGUAGUC
rnacentral:rRNA from 1 species